GAGACAGUUUCUCACUACACUAGAAGAAAAAAGAGACCUAGAGGUGGGAUUUCCCUCCAAUUGGCUUUGAUACACACCGCGGCCGCACUUAGGUUGUAGCGCCCGAGUGGGUGGAGCUUUUCCGUUAUUGGCUCCUCCUGUUCAGGUCUUGGCCCUACUGAUGGGAGGAAGAGGGUAGCGCUCCGUCACCUGCCGCGCACAGCCUCUAAGAUUGUAGACCUUUCACCGCAUUGGCCAGGAGGCGUUGGCGCUCGUUGGCUCCAGGAACCAAAGCUAACUCCGGGAGUCCAAAGCCUUAGGAGGAGUAUCGGGAAAGAAGAGGCGGGUGGAGGACACCGGGCAGAUAGGGCUGAAGACUAAGGACUCCUGUUGGUAUUGGGUUGCUGACAGUGACCUUUUGUUGACACUCCUGGGAUAGCAGCAGUUCCUAGAUCUGCUCAGGAUAAGGGCAAGAGAUAAAAGGAGCUGGAACCUCAGAAAAAGAAGAAAACCAGCCAGGAGGGGUGGCUGCUGUCAUCUGAAAACUGCAGUGCUCUGCAGGUUCUGACCACUGUCUCCUGUACUUCGAUCCCUGCC